rnacentral:lncRNA from 1 species
AUGGCACCUCAAAAGGGGAAGGAAAAGAAGGAAGAACAGGUCAUCAGCCUUGGACCUUGGGUGGGUGUAGGAGAGAAUGUAUUUGGUGUCUGCCAAAUUUUUGCAUCCUUCACUGACACUUUGGUCCAUGUCACUUUUGUCCAUGGCGAUCUUUCUGUCAAAGAAACGCUCUGCCGUGUUACUGGUGGGAUGUAGGUGAAGGCAGACCCAGAUGAAACCUUACCAUAAGCUGCCAUGCUGGCCACCCAGGAUGUGGCCCAGAGGUGCAAGGAGCUGGGCAUCACUGCCCUACACAUCAAACUCUGGGCCACAGGAGGAAACAGGAACAAGUCCCCUAGACCUGGGGCCCAGAUGUCCCUCAGAGCCCCUUGCCUGCUCAGGUAUGAAGAUCCGGCAGAUUGAAGAUGUCACUCCAUUUCCCCUCUGACAGCACUCCCAGGAAGGGGGGUCACCGUG